GUGAAACUAAAAUUCAAAAUCAACAGUAAAAGACACUAAAAGAAACGUCGGAUGAAAAUAAAGGAUUCUAAACCAAGAACCCCAGAGAAGAACCCAAAUACAGACAGGGAAAGCUCUCGACUCCAAAAUAAGGCUGUAAAGAAAAAACAAGAAGCCGUCAUGAUUUGUUGUUCAGAGACAAAAGAAAAAGAACACAAAGUAACGGACACCAAAACUGUGAUAAUU